rnacentral:rRNA from 1 species
GAUGAACGCUGGCGGCGUGCCUAAUACAUGCAAGUCGAGCGAACAGACCAGGAGCUUGCUCCUCUGACGUUAGCCGCGGACGGGUGAGUAACACGUGGAUAACCUACCUAUAAGACUGGGAUCACUUCGGGACACCGGCGCUAAUACCGGAUAAUAUAUUGAACCGCAUGGUUCAAUAGUGAAAGACGGCUUUGCUGUCUCUUAUAGAUGGAUCCGCGCCGCAUUAGCUAGUUGGUAGGGUAACGGCUUACCAAGGCGACGAUGCGUAUCCGACCUGUGUGGGGGAUCGGCCACCCUAGAACUGAAACACGGUCCAGACUCCUACGAGAGGCAGCAGACGGGAAUCUUCCGCAACGGGCGGAAGCCUUACGGAGCAACGCCGCGUGUGAGAUGAAAGUGUUGGGAUCGUAAAACUCUGUUAUUAGGGGAGAACAGAUGUGUAAGUAACUGUGCACGUCUUGACGGUACCUAAUCAGAAAGCCACGGCUAACUACGUG